UCUUAGCCCUGAUGGGAGCGACAUCCUUUUGUGGCGGUGUUCGCCAUAAAAGAUAUAGCGGACAGCAGGAAACAGC
rnacentral:sRNA from 1 species